rnacentral:piRNA from 1 species
UAUGGACCUGAGUCUUUACAGAGU